rnacentral:rRNA from 1 species
CUACGUGCCAGCAGCCGCGGUAAUACGUAGGGCGCGAGCGUUGUCCGGAAUUAUUGGGCGUAAAGAGCUUGUAGGCGGUUUGUCGCGUCUGCUGUGAAAGGCCGGGGCUUAACCCCGUGUAUUGCAGUGGGUACGGGCAGACUAGAGUGCAGUAGGGGAGACUGGAAUUCCUGGUGUAGCGGUGGAAUGCGCAGAUAUCAGGAGGAACACCGAUGGCGAAGGCAGGUCUCUGGGCUGUAACUGACGCUGAGAAGCGAAAGCAUGGGGAGCAAACAGGAUUAGAUACCCUGGUAGUCCACGCCGUAAACGAUGAGUGCUAGGUGUUAGMCCCUUUCCGGGGUUUAGUGCCGCAGCUAACGCAUUAAGCACUCCGCCUGGGGAGUACGACCGCAAGGUUGAAACUCAAAGGAAUUGACGGGGSCCCGCACAAGCGGUGGAGCAUGUGGUUUAAUUCGAAGCAACGCGAA